rnacentral:rRNA from 1 species
AGAGUUUGAUCAUGGCUCAGGAUGAACGCUAGCGGGAGGCUUAACACAUGCAAGUCGAGGGGUAAAUGGUAGCAAUACUAUGAGACCGGCGAACGGGUGCGUAACGCGUAUGCAACUUACCUUAUGCAGGGGGAUAGCCCGUGGAAACGCGGAUUAAUAUCCCAUAGAUCAGUAAUAUCGCAUGGUAUAACUGGUAAAACUCAGGUGGCAUAAGAUGGGCAUGCGUCUGAUUAGCUAGUUGGUAGGGUAACGGCCUACCAAGGCGACGAUCAGUAGGGGUUCUGAGAGGAUUAACCCCCACACUGGUACUGAGACACGGACCAGACUCCUACGGGAGGCAGCAGUGAGGAAUAUUGGUCAAUGGGCGCAAGCCUGAACCAGCCAUCCCGCGUGAAGGAAGAAGGCCCUACGGGUUGUAAACUUCUUUUCUGUUUGAAGAAUAAGCUCGUCGAGACGAGUGAUGCCGGUAGGACAGGAAUAAGCACCGGCUAACUCCGUGCCAGCAGCCGCGGUAAUACGGAGGAUGCAAGCGUUAUCCGGAUUUAUUGGGUUUAAAGGGUGCGCAGGUGGUUUAAUAAGUCAGUGGUGAAAGUCUGGCGCUUAACGUUAGGAUUGCCAUUGAUACUGUUAGACUUGAAUAUGGAUGAGGUAGGCGGAAUGUGUAGUGUAGCGGUGAAAUGCUUAGAUAUCACACAGAACACCGAUUGCGAAGGCAGCUUACUAAUCCAUCAUUGACGCUGAGGCACGAAAGCGUGGGGAUCAAACAGGAUUAGAUACCCUGUAGUCCACGCUGUAAACGAUGAUCACUCGCUGUUUGCGAUAUACAGUAAGCGGCUAAGCGAAAGCGUUAAGUGAUCCACCUGGGGAGUACGAUCGCAAGGUUGAAACUCAAAGGAAUUGAC